rnacentral:rRNA from 1 species
UACGAAGGGAGCUAGCGUUGUUCGGAAUUACUGGGCGUAAAGGGCGCGUAGGCGGUCAGACAAGUCAGGCGUGAAAGCCCCGGGCUCAACCCGGGAAUAGCGCUUGAGACUGUCUUUCUAAGAGUACGGGAGAGGUAAGUGGAAUUCCCAGUGUAGCAGUGAAAUGCGUAGAUAUUGGGAAGAACACCAGUGGCGAAGGCGGCUUACUGGACCGUGACUGACGCUGAGGCGCGAAAGCGUGGGGAGCAAACAGG